rnacentral:rRNA from 1 species
UACGGGGGGGGCAAGCGUUGUUCGGAAUUACUGGGCGUAAAGGGCGUGUAGGUGGCCAACUAAGUCCGACGUGAAAUCCCCAGGCUUAACCUGGGAACUGCGUCGGAUACUGGAUGGCUUGAAUUCGGGAGAGGGAUGCAGAAUUCCAGGUGUAGCGGUGAAAUGCGUAGAUAUCGGGAGGAACACCAGUGGCGAAAGCGGCCACCUGGACUGCACCUGACGCUGACACGCGAAAGCUAGGGGAGCGAACGGG